rnacentral:lncRNA from 1 species
CAGGAACCCAAGGGUUCUCCAAAGAAACGCUACGUUACUGAGAUAGAUAGGUUGAGCAGCUGAUGGCAUAGGAGUAUGGGUGAAGAAGGGCAGGAAGGUCAAAUGUGAUUUCUGAUUUCUAUCUAGGGUGUCUGGGAAAAUAGUAAUUUCAAAGAGAUAGCAAGUCUUGGAGGAUAAAUUUGGAUACAGGAAAGUGGUUUGAUCUUAGACAUGGUGAAUUUGAAGAGUUGAUAGCAGGACAUCCACAGGCUGGCAGUACUCAAAAUAGAGGUCAAGUCUAAUGACUAAAGCAAGCAAAAUCUUCUUGAAACAGAAAGAUGAUAAAGGAGAUGAAGCAAGAAAGAAUCUGGCAAAUGCUGGCUAGGGUUGAG